CACAUCAAUAACCUCUAGAAAAAAUGUGUUUAAUCCUUAUAAUUCUUCAGCCAAACAUGCGCGAUUACUAAUUUACAUUAUUACUCUGAUGGCUACUAUAUGUACCAUCAGAAGCACAAUGACAUGUCGUAACUAAGGAGUACGCCGCCAUCUUGACUUUCUAAAAAACUUAAAUGUUCGAUAAAUGCAACAUAAUCUAAAAUGAACUAGCACCUACCUCAAAAAUUUCAUUUUAAUUAGAUAUUAUCCGAAUUUGACGCGUACAAGUAACGAAAUAAUCUUCCGUCUGAAAGUUUUCAAUUGUAUGACGUCGUGUUUGCUUUGACGUAAGUUCGCCAAAUCAUUCGUGAAAUUUCCCGGAAUUUUAUUUAAAUUCUAUUUUUAUACAUUUUCGAAGCUUUAGUGCAUUUAUUUUAUUUCUUUUUUUUGUUAUAUAUGCAUUAGAAUAGAAACAACUGUUAUGCAAUUGUUUUAUAAUCUCAACUUUCUGAAAAUCCCAGUAUCCCUGCAAGAA
rnacentral:lncRNA from 1 species